UCGCGAGGUCUGACCCGGCUGAGGCCUGGAAAUGCAGAUUGUCCGUAGUGGCGUCCCCGUCACGUCGAUCCAUUUUUCUGCCUUCGUGACCCGCCCGCCCGCGCCACUAACCUCAAUGGCGUCAAACAUGUUCGCCAAAUCACAAUGCACCUACUGCCAAGAAGACGUAACAGGACUACGUGUAAAAUGCGUCGAGUGCACUGAUUUUGAAAUAUGCCUUCAGUGUUUUGCAGCAGGUGCUGAAAUUGGACCACAUAAAAAUAAUCACCCUUAUCAAUUUAAAGACUCAGGAUCUGUCGGACUUAGUUUUGGUAAAAGUGGUUGGACAGCUAAAGAAGAACAGCACCUUCUUGAUGCUAUUGAGCAGUAUGGGUUUGGAAACUGGGAAGAUAUUAGUCGUCACAUUGAAACCAGAACUCCUGAAGAAGCUAGAGAGGAGUACAUUUCUCGCUAUUUAGAGGGUAAUGUUGGCAAAGCUACAUGGACUUCAGCUGCCAGCUCGCGCCCUCUUUUAGCAGAAGUCUCACUCCCUGAUGAAGGUCCGCUUGCUCCUGAACAAAUUAACAAGUUACCACCAUUGGACAUUACUGCUGAAGAAUGUGUUCAGUUGGGCUACAUGCCUCUCAGGGAUGAUUAUGAAAAGGAGUAUGACAAUGAUGCUGAAUCACUUGCUUCCCCACUAUCAAUUCACCCCACAGAAGAUGAUGAACUUGACAUAGCACUGAAACUUGCUCAAGUGGAUAUGUAUACUAGACGACUAAGAGAAAGGGCUAGACGCAAAAGAGUUGGCAGAGAUUACCAGCUUGUGGCAAAUUUCUUCCAGCCUACUACUCGCAAAGAGCGUCCUAUUGUGAAAAAGAAGCUGACCCGAGAGGAGAGGGAGUUCCAAGAGCACAUGCGUGUUUUAACACAAUUUCAUUCAUCUCAAGAACAUGAGCAGUUCUUGUCAGGCAUUCGACGCCAGCGUGAGCUUGAAGUUCGAAUUAAUGAGUUGAUGAGAUACCGUCGCCAUGGAAUUACUACAGUUGAGGAAUGUCAUCAUUUUGAACAGCUCAGACAAGAAGCCAGGGAUAAGCGCAGGAACUCGCUGCAAUGUGUCCCUCUCUCCUCUGUCAGCGCAGUCAAAAAGAAGAGAAAAAGGCGGCUCAUACUCAAUCAUAAAAAAAUCAACAUCUACGGGAAACGAUCGCUGCUUGUUUCCCGUGAGUCCAGAUAGCGGUGCCGAGGGUGGCGGGGACGCUGACGGCGACGACACCAUGGCAGGGGACACUCCUCAGGACGUCGCGGCCCUCCCCGGCUACCCUUUGCUUUCCAAAGAUGAGGCUAAGCUAUGUUCAUCAUUAAAUAUUACACCUAAUCAAUAUUAUGGCGCUAAAUACUCUCUUCUCGAG
rnacentral:misc_RNA from 1 species